rnacentral:pre_miRNA from 1 species
UGAUGAUGAUGGUGAUGAUGAUGGCGAUGACGACGACGAUGAUGAUUAAAAUAAGUUUCUCUCUAACUCUCCGACUCGUCGUCGUGGUUGUCAUCAUCAUCGUCAUCAUCAUCGUCAUCAUCAUCGUCA